CCUACGGGAGGCAGCAGUGGGGAAUCUUCCGCAAUGGGCGAAAGCCUGACGGAGCAACGCCGCGUGAUCGAAUGAAGGCCUUCGGGUUGUAAAGAUCUGUUGACAGGGACGAAUAAGCCAUGCGAAUAGUUUGGUGUAUGACGGUACCUGUUUAGAAAGCUCCGGCUAACUACGUGCCAGCAGCCGCGGUAAUACGGAGGGAGCAAGCGUUGUCCGGAUUUACUGGGCGUAAAGGGCGCGUAGGUGGGUUCUUAAGUCAGGUGUGAAAUCUAUGGGCUCAACCUGGAGACUGCACUUGAAACUGGGAAUCUUGAGGGCAGGAGAGGAAGGUGGAAUUCGUAGUGUAGCGGUGAAAUGCGUAGAUAUUAGGAGGAACACCAGUGGCGAAGGCGACUUUCUGGACUGUAACUGACGCUGAGGCGCGAAAGCGUGGGUAGCGAACGGGAUUAGAUACCCGAGUAGUC
rnacentral:rRNA from 1 species